GAUGAACGCUGGCGGCGUGCCUAAUACAUGCAAGUCGAGCGAACAGACGAGGAGCUUGCUCCUCUGACGUUAGCGGCGGACGGGUGAGUAACACGUGGAUAACCUACCUAUAAGACUGGGAUAACUUCGGGAAACCGGAGCUAAUACCGGAUAAUAUAUUGAACCGCAUGGUUCAAUAGUGAAAGACGGUUUUGCUGUCACUUAUAGAUGGAUCCGCGCCGCAUUAGCUAGUUGGUAAGGUAACGGCUUACCAAGGCAACGAUGCGUAGCCGACCUGAGAGGGUGAUCGGCCACACUGGAACUGAGACACGGUCCAGACUCAUACGGGAGGCAGCAGUAGGGAAUCUUCCGCAAUGGGCGAAAGACUGACGGAGCAACGCCGCGUGAGUGAUGAAGGUCUUCGGAUCGUAAAACUCUGUUAUUAGGGAAGAACAAAUGUGUAAGUAACUAUGCACGUCUUGAAGGUACCUAAUCAGAAAGCCACGGCUAACUACGUG
rnacentral:rRNA from 1 species